GUCUACGGCCACACCACCCUGAACAAGCCCGAUCCCAUCUGAUCUCGGAAGCUAAGCAGGGUCGGGCCUGGUUAGUACUUGGCUGGGAGACCACCUAGGACGACCAGGCGCUGUAGGCG
rfam:Pteropus alecto contig40862, whole genome shotgun sequence.